rnacentral:rRNA from 1 species
ACGGAAGGCAGCAGUGGGGAAUAUUGCACAAUGGGGGAAACCCUGAUGCAGCGACGCCGCGUGAGUGAAGAAGUUAUUCGUAAUGUAAAGCUCUAUCAGCAGGGAAGAAAAUGACGGUACCUGACUAAGAAGCCCCGGCUAACUACGUGCCAGCAGCCGCGGUAAUACGUAGGGGGCAAGCGUUAUCCGGAUUUACUGGGUGUAAAGGGAGCGUAGACGGCUGUGCAAGUCUGAUGUGAAAGGCAGGGGCUCAACUCCUGGACUGCAUUGGAAACUGUAUGGCUCGAGUGCCGGAGGGGUAAGCGGAAUUCCUAGUGUAGCGGUGAAAUGCGUAGAUAUUAGGAGGAACACCAGUGGCGAAGGCGGCUUACUGGACGGUAACUGACGUUGAGGCUCGAAAGCGUGGGGAGCAAACAGGAUUAGAUACCCUGGUA